GACGAACGCUGGCGGCGUGCCUAAUACAUGCAAGUUGAGCGAUGAAGAUUGGUGCUUGCACCAAUUUGAAGAGCAGCGAACGGGUGAGUAACGCGUGGGGAAUCUGCCUUUGAGCGGGGGACAACAUUUGGAAACGAAUGCUAAUACCGCAUAACAACUUUAAACAUAAGUUUUAAGUUUGAAAGAUGCAAUUGCAUCACUCAAAGAUGAUCCCGCGUUGUAUUAGCUAGUUGGUGAGGUAAAGGCUCACCAAGGCGAUGAUACAUAGCCGACCUGAUAGGGUGAUCGGCCACAUUGGGACUGAGACACGGCCCAAACUCCUACGGGAGGCAGCAGUAGGGAAUCUUCGGCAAUGGACGGAAGUCUGACCGAGCAACGCCGCGUGAGUGAAGAAGGUUUUCGGAUCGUAAAACUCUGUUGGUAGAGAAGAACGUUGGUGAGAGUGGAAAGCUCAUCAAGUGACGGUAACUACCCAGAAAGGGACGGCUAACUACGUG
rnacentral:rRNA from 1 species